CUACGGGGUGCAGCAGUGAGGAAUAUUGCACAAUGGGGGGAACCCUGAUGCAGCAACGCCGCGUGGAGGAUGACGCAUUUCGGUGUGUAAACUCCUUUUAUAUGUCAAGAAAAUGACGGUAGCAUAUGAAUAAGCACCGGCUAACUCCGUGCCAGCAGCCGCGGUAAUACGGAGGGUGCAAGCGUUACUCGGAAUCACUGGGCGUAAAGGACGCGUAGGCGGGUUGGAAAGUCAGGUGUGAAAUCCUACAGCUUAACUGUAGAACUGCACUUGAAACUUCUAAUCUAGAGUAUGGGAGGGGGAGAUGGAAUUAGUGGUGUAGGGGUAAAAUCCGUAGAUAUCACUAGGAAUACCUAAAGCGAAGGCGAUCUCCUGGAACAUUACUGACGCUAAGGCGCGAAAGCGUGGGUGCAAACAGGAUUAGAUACCCGAGUAGUC
rnacentral:rRNA from 1 species